ACAUAGCUCAGUUGGCAGACCAUGAGACUUUAUCUGGGGGUCGUGGGUUCGAGCCCCAUGUGGAACA